rnacentral:rRNA from 1 species
GAUGAACGCUAGCGGCAGGCUUAAUACAUGCAAGUCGAGGGGCAGCAUGAUUGUAGCAAUACAAUUGAUGGCGACCGGCAAACGGGUGCGGAACACGUACACAACCUUCCAACAAGUGGGGGAUAGCCCAGAGAAAUUUGGAUUAAUACCCCGUAACAUAGCGAUGUGGCAUCACAUUGCUAUUUUAGAUUUUUCGCUUGUUGAUGGGUGUGCGGCUGAUUAGAUAGUUGGCGGGGUAACGGCCCACCAAGUCUACGAUCAGUAGCUGAUGUGAGAGCAUGAUCAGCCACACGGGCACUGAGACACGGGCCCGACUCCUACGGGAGGCAGCAGUAAGGAAUAUUGGACAAUGGACGCAAGUUUGAUCCAGCCAUGCCGCGUGAAGGAUUAAGGUCCUCUGGAUUGUAAACUUCUUUUAUAAGGGACGAAAAAAGGCUUUUCUAAGUCGUCUGACGGUACCUUAUGAAUAAGCACCGGCUAACUCCGUGCCAGCCGCCGCGGUAACAC